rnacentral:rRNA from 1 species
UACGUAGGGUGCAGGCGUUAAUCGGAAUUACUGGGCGUAAAGCGUGCGCAGGCGGUUUGCUAAGACAGGUGUGAAAUCCCCGGGCUUAACCUGGGAACUGCGCUUGUAACUGGCAAGCUAGAGUGUGGCAGAGGGGGGUGGAAUUCCCGGUGUAGCGGUGGAAUGCGUAGAGAUCGGGAAGAACAUCAGUGGCGAAGGCGGUCUGCUGGGCCGUUGCUGACGCUGAGGCGCGACAGCGUGGGGAGCAAACAGG